rnacentral:miRNA from 1 species
AUAAAAUAUAAUAGUUUUGUUUGUGGAAACACCACGUAAAUUUAGUACUGCAAAAGUGCAGUAAUAAAUUUACGUGGUGUUUCCACAAACAAAACUAUUAAUGCGCUAUUUGUCUCUA